AUUGAACGCUGGCGGCAGGCCUAACACAUGCAAGUCGAGCGGAUGACGGGAGCUUGCUCCUUGAUUCAGCGGCGGACGGGUGAGUAAUGCCUAGGAAUCUGCCUGGUAGUGGGGGACAACGUUUCGAAAGGAACGCUAAUACCGCAUACGUCCUACGGGAGAAAGCAGGGGACCUUCGGGCCUUGCGCUACCAGAUGAGCCUAGGUCGGAUUAGCUAGUUGGUGGGGUAAUGGCUCACCAAGGCGACGAUCCGUAUCUGGUCUGAGAGGAUGAUCAGUCACACUGGAACUGAGACACGGUCCAGACUCCUACGGGAGGCAGCAGUGGGGAAUAUUGGACAAUGGGCGAAAGCCUGACCCAGCCAUGCCGCGUGUGUGAAGAAGGUCUUCGGAUUGUAAAGCACUUUAAGUUGGGAGGAAGGGCAGUAAGUUAAUACCUUGCUGUUUUGACGUUACCGACAGAAUAAGCACCGGCUAACUUUGUGCCAGCCGCCGCAGUAA
rnacentral:rRNA from 1 species